rnacentral:rRNA from 1 species
ACUCAAAGGAAUUGACGGGGGCCCGCACAAGCGGCGGAGCAUGCGGAUUAAUUCGAUGCAACGCGAAGAACCUUACCAAGGCUUGACAUGAACUAGUAAAGCGCAGAAAUGUGUUCCCCUCUUGAGGCUGGUUUACAGGUGGUGCAUGGUUGUCGUCAGCUCGUGUCGUGAGAUGUUGGGUUAAGUCCCGCAACGAGCGCAACCCUCGUUCUAUGUUGCCAGCGCGUUAUGGCGGGGACUCAUAGGAGACUGCCGGGGUCAACUCGGAGGAAGGUGGGGACGACGUCAAAUCAUCAUGCCCCUUAUGUCUUGGGCUUCACGCAUGCUACAAUGGCCGGUACAAAGGGUUGCGAUACUGUGAGGUGGAGCUAAUCCCAAAAAGCCGGUCUCAGUUCGGAUUGGGGUCUGCAACUCGACCCCAUGAAGUCGGAGUCGCUAGUAAUCGCAGAUCAGCAACGCUGCGGUGAAUACGUUCCCGGGCCUUGUACACACCGCCCGU